UAGGGAAUCUUCGGCAAUGGGGGCAACCCUGACCGAGCAACGCCGCGUGAGUGAAGAAGGUUUUCGGAUCGUAAAGCUCUGUUGUAAGAGAAGAACGAGUGUGAGAGUGGAAAGUCCACGCUGUGACGGUAUCUUACCAGAAAGGGACGGCUAACUACGUGCCAGCAGCCGCGGUAAUACGUAGGUCCCGAGCGUUAUCCGGAUUUAUUGGGCGUAAAGCGAGCGCAGGCGGUUAGAUAAGUCUGAAGUUAAAGGCUGUGGCUUAACCAUAGUACGCUUUGGAAACUGUUUAACUUGAGUGCAAGAGGGGAGAGUGGAAUUCCAUGUGUAGCGGUGAAAUGCGUAGAUAUAUGGAGGAACACCGGUGGCGAAAGCGGCUCUCUGGCUUGUAACUGACGCUGAGGCUCGAAAGCGUGGGGAGCAAACAGGAUUAGAUACCCUGGUAGUCCACGCCGUAAACGAUGAGUGCUAGGUGUUAGACCCUUUCCGGGGUUUAGUGCCGUAGCUAACGCAUUAAGCACUCCGCCUGGGGAGUACGACCGCAAGGUUG
rnacentral:rRNA from 1 species